GAUAGUUUUUUGGGACAUUAACUAUAAUUGUUGUCUGCAUCAGUUGCUGGUGAUGAAGUCAAAUUUGGAGGUUGGAUGAUCAGCAGUGAAAACAACAUCAUCUGUGAAGGCAAGAUGAAGCUGCGAGGACACUGGAGUUUGUUCAAAGAUGCUUAAUUGGUGUGAACCCUAAGAGGGGAACAAAAGCCAGGCAGGUGAAGGUGUCCAAGAAGACAGGAAAGCUUGUCCAGAAAAAUGCAGCAAUGGAGUGCAGAGUGGCCACCCUCAUCAGAAACCUCAUGGACUUUGAGUGGGGCUUUCACAUUGUAUUCUGCAAUGUUGUGAUAUUUAUGUGACAUCACAGCAUUAUGUUUUAUUCAGCCCAGUCUCAUUGGUGAGGCAGAAACUGACAUUUAUGAAUGCACUGAAUUUUAUUAUAUUUAAUAAAAAAAAGGGUUUUAUCAUCA